rnacentral:rRNA from 1 species
AGAGGAAGUAAAAGUCGUAACAAGGUUUCCGGUAGCCGAGU